rnacentral:rRNA from 1 species
GACGAACGCUGGCGGCGUGCUUAACACAUGCAAGUCGAACGGUAAGGCCCUUCGGGGUACUCGAGUGGCGAACGGGUGAGUAACACGUGGGUGAUCUGCCCUGCACUUCGGGAUAAGCCUGGGAAACUGGGUCUAAUACCGGAUAGGACCCUGGGAUGCAUGUCCUGGGGUGGAAAGCUUUUGCGGUGUGGGAUGGGCCCGCGGCCUAUCAGCUUGUUGGUGGGGGGAUGGCCUACCAAGGCGACGACGGGUAGCCGGCCUGAGAGGGUGACCGGCCACACUGGGACUGAGAUACGGCCCAGACUCCUACGGGAGGCAGCAGUGGGGAAUAUUGAACAAUGGGCGCAAGCCUGAUGCAGCGACGCCGCGUGAGGGAUGACGGCCUUCGGGUUGUAAACCUCUUUCAGCACCGACGAAGCGCAAGUGACGGUAGGUGCAGAAGAAGGACCGGCCAACUACGUGCCAGCCGCCGCAGUAA